CGCAGCCGCGGUAAUUCCAGCUCCAAUAGCGUAUAUUAAAGUUGUUGCAGUUAAAAAGCUCGUAGUUGAAUUUCGGGAUCAAUAUAUCGGUCGUGCCUCCGGUAUGCACUGGUAUUAUUGAUUUCUACCUUCUGACGAAUCAUGAUGUCAUUAAUUUGGUGUCAUGGGGAAUCAGGACUGUUACUUUGAAAAAUUAGAGUGUUUAAAGCAGGCACACGCUUGAAUACAUUAGCAUGGAAUAAUGAAAUAGGACGUUUGACCCUAUUUUGUUGGUUUCUAGGAUCGACGUAAUGAUUAAUAGGGAUAGUUGGGGGCAUUAGUAUUCAAUUGUCAGAGGUGAAAUUCUUGGAUUUAUUGAAGACUAACUACUGCGAAAGCAUUUGCCAAGGGUGUUUUCAUUAAUCAAGAACGAAAGUUAGGGGAUCGAAGACGAUCAGAUACCGUCGUAGUCUUAACCAUAAACUAUGCCGACUAGGGAUCGGAUGAUGUUAAUUUUUAAUGACUCAUUCGGACG
rnacentral:rRNA from 1 species